UUGCCUUAAACUAAUGAGUAAGGAAAACAAGGUGAGCGGUGGAAACUGCUCACAGCGCCUACUAAAUAGAGCGCAGCGAUUUUUGGAGGUGUGAUAGGCUGGCCGAGCGUUGAUACUGCCUACUUUGCAGAACUCGCUCGAGCGGGCCUCCCAC